UACGUAGGGUGCGAGCGUUAAUCGGAAUUACUGGGCGUAAAGCGUGCGCAGGCGGUUUUGCAAGCCGGAUGUGAAAUCCCCCGGCUUAACCUGGGAACUGCGUCUGAUACUGGGAGGCUUGAGUAUGGGAGAGGGAUGUAGAAUUCCAGGUGUAGCGGUGAAAUGCGUAGAUAUCUGGAGGAAUACCGGUGGCGAAGGCGGCAUCCUGGACCAUAACUGACGCUGAGGCGCGAAAGCUAGGGUAGCAAACGGG
rnacentral:rRNA from 1 species